rnacentral:rRNA from 1 species
AUGGCGGCACUCCGGGCCCAGCGCCUCUUCUUGGUCCAGUCUUCCUCAUCCCCUUCCACUUCCACAGCGCGGCCACGACGGAGCAGCGCUGCCACCUGUCGCGCCGCCCUGCGCGUGCCUUCUGGCAUUCGCACAACGCAGGACGACCUCAGCCUCAAGCUUGAAUGGAUUGAGCCGCAGGCCACGCGCGCCCCGGCCUCCCCGUCGGCGGACGUGUCCGUCGAGAAGCUCCGCGCCAUCGUGGACGCGGCGGCGGACCGGCGAAAUUCCAACAGACAUCAUCGGCAAUCAGCGGGACAACUGGAACCACCUGCUGCUCCACUCCACCAACUCCCUCACGCUUGCCGCCUCCGUCAUGGCCGCGCUCGCGCCCGCCGCACCAACCGUGGUCGCGCUCAAGGCAUCCGCGGGGGUGCUCCUCGCCACAGCAGCGGUGACCAUGGCGGCCGUCAAUAA